AUUGAACGCUGGCGGCAUGCCUUACACAUGCAAGUCGAACGGUAACAGGUCUUUCGGGAUGCUGACGAGUGGCGAACGGGUGAGUAAUACAUCGGAACGUGCCUAGUAGUGGGGGAUAACUACUCGAAAGAGUGGCUAAUACCGCAUGAGAUCUAUGGAUGAAAGCAGGGGACCUUCGGGCCUUGUGCUACUAGAGCGGCCGAUGGCAGAUUAGGUAGUUGGUGAGAUAAAAGCUUACCAAGCCUACGAUCUGUAGCUGGACUGAGAGGACGAUCAGACAUCCGUGGACUGAGAGACGGCCCAAGCUCCUACGGGAGGCAGCAGAGGGGAGUGUUGGACAAUGGGCGCGAGCCUGAUCCGGCAAUGCCGCGUGCAGGAUGAAGGCCUUCGGGUUGUAAACUGCUUUUGUACGGAACGAAAAGUCUUGGGUUAAUACCCUGGGAUCAUGACGGUACCGUAAGAAUAAGCACCGGCUAACUACGUGCCAGCAGCCGCGGUAAGAC
rnacentral:rRNA from 1 species